rnacentral:rRNA from 1 species
AGAGUUUGAUCCUGGCUCAGGAUGAACGCUAGCGACAGGCUUAACACAUGCAAGUCGAGGGGCAGCACAGGUAGCAAUACCGGGUGGCGACCGGCGCACGGGUGAGUAACGCGUAUGCAACUUACCUAUCAGAGGGGGAUAACCCGGCGAAAGUCGGACUAAUACCGCAUGAAGCAGGGAUCCCGCAUGGGAAUAUUUGCUAAAGAUUCAUCGCUGAUAGAUAGGCAUGCGUUCCAUUAGGCAGUUGGCGGGGUAACGGCCCACCAAACCGACGAUGGAUAGGGGUUCUGAGAGGAAGGUCCCCCACAUUGGUACUGAGACACGGACCAAACUCCUACGGGAGGCAGCAGUGAGGAAUAUUGGUCAAUGGCCGAGAGGCUGAACCAGCCAAGUCGCGUGAGGGAUGAAGGUUCUAUGGAUCGUAAACCUCUUUUAUAAGGGAAUAAAGUGCGGGACGUGUCCCGUUUUGUAUGUACCUUAUGAAUAAGGAUCGGCUAACUCCGUGCCAGCAGCCGCGGUAAUACGGAGGAUCCGAGCGUUAUCCGGAUUUAUUGGGUUUAAAGGGUGCGUAGGCGGCCUUUUAAGUCAGCGGUGAAAGUCUGUGGCUCAACCAUAGAAUUGCCGUUGAAACUGGGGGGCUUGAGUAUGUUUGAGGCAGGCGGAAUGCGUGGUGUAGCGGUGAAAUGCAUAGAUAUCACGCAGAACCCCGAUUGCGAAGGCAGCCUGCCAAGCCAUGACUGACGCUGAUGCACGAAAGCGUGGGGAUCAAACAGGAUUAGAUACCCUGGUAGUCCACGCAGUAAACGAUGAUCACUAGCUGUUUGCGAUACACUGUAAGCGGCACAGCGAAAGCGUUAAGUGAUCCACCUGGGGAGUACGCCGGCAACGGUGAAACUCAAAGGAAUUGACGGGGGCCC